rnacentral:rRNA from 1 species
UACAUGGGGUGCAAACGUUGCUCGGAAUUAUUGGGCGUAAAGCGCGCGUAGGCGGUUACUCAAGUCGGAUGUGAAAGCCCUCGGCUUAACUGAGGAAGUGCACCCGAAACUGAGUAGCUAGAGUACUAAAGAGGGUCGCGGAAUUCCCGGUGUAGCGGUGAAAUGCGCAGAUAUCGGGAGGAACACCAAUUGCGAAGGCAGCUCGCUGGGACGUUACUGACGCUGAGACGCGAAAGCGUGGGGAGCAAACAGGG